GGGGAUAUAGCUCAGUGGUAGAGCGUCUCGUUUGCAUCGAGAAGGUCUGGGGUUCAAUCCCCCAUGUCUCCA